UUCCGGUUGAUCCUGCCGGACCCUACUGCUAUCGGGAUAGGACUAAGACAUGUUAGUCGUGCGUGCUAAACGCGGCACACGGCUCAGUAACAUGUGGCUAACCUACCCUUAGGACUGGGACAACCCCGGGAAACUGGGGCUAAUCCUUGAUAGGCGUGGAUUCCUGGAAUGGAUUCAUACCUAAAGCUUUACGCCUAAGGAUGGGGCCGCAACCGAUCAGGCUGUUGGUGAGGUAACGGCUCACCAAACCUAUAACCGGUACGGGCCGCGGGAGCGGUAGCCCGGAGAUGGACACUGAGACAAGGGUCCAGGCCCUACGGGGCGCAGCAGUCGCGAAAACUCCACAAUGCGCGAAAGCGCGAUGGGGCUAUCCCGAGUGCCGUCCGCUGAGGAUGGCUUUUCUCCAGUGUAAGGAGCUGGAGGAAUAAGGAGAGGGCAAGUCUGGUGUCAGCCGCCGCGGUAAUACCAGCUCUCCGAGUGGUAGGGAUGUUUAUUGGGCUUAAAGCGUCCGUAGCCGGCUCAGCAAGUCCUCCGUUAAAUCCAGCGAUUCAAUCGUUGGACUGCGGGGGAUACUGUUGGGCUAGGGGACGGGAGAGGCCGACGGUAUUCUCGGAGUAGGGGUGAAAUCCUAUAAUUCCGGGAGGACCACCAGUGGCGAAGGCUGUCGGCUAGAACGAGCUCAACGGUGAGGGACGAAAGCUGGGGGAGCGAACCGGAUUAGAUACCCGGGUAGUCCCAGCCGUAAACGAUGCAGGCUAGGUGUUAGGGUGGCUACGAGCCACUCUAGUGCCGCAGCGAAGGCAUUAAGCCUGCCGCCUGGGGAGUACGGCCGCAAGGCUGAAACUUAAAGGAAUUGGCGGGAGAGCACCACAAGGCGUGAAGCGUGCGGUUUAAUUGGAUUCAACGCCGGA
rnacentral:rRNA from 1 species